rnacentral:miRNA from 1 species
GCAGACACAUUCCAGCCAAUCAGCAGCAGACCCUCCCUCCCAGAUUCUCCCACCUCCUGGACAGCAUCCAUUUUACAUUUAUUGUGAAGCUGGAUUCUUAGUGAGCUGUCCAGGAGGUGGGAGGGUCUGGGAGGGAGGGUCUGCUGCUGAUUGGCUGGAAUGUGUCUG